ensembl:lncRNA
CAAGUUAAAAACGUAGCGGUUACGUUUCUAAAAACAAGAUCAUACAUUUGAAAAUCGAGUUUCAUGUAGAACUAUUCUCUACCUGGAAACCAAAAAAAGAUCAUACGUGGAACCUAAAGGACUGAUUUUGCUAAUCUGAGGAGGCUAGCAGCUGUACUUCUCUCAGCAGGGACUUGAACUGGAAUACGAGCAGUAACAUGAUCCACAGAGAGAGAGGAGAGAGAGGAGGAAGAAGGGGGAGAGAUGGGGAGACGAAUGGAGAAAUGGAAGGAUGGGAGAGGGGAGAGAUGAAGAGCAAGAGGAGAUGUACAGAGAGAGGAAAGGCGGAUCAAGAAACAUGAGAGAAAUGUGAAGAGAGGAGAGAUGAAGAGAAGGGAGUUGACGAGCUCACGUUAACCUUGAUGUGUCCGUGGAUGAGGCUGAAUCGACUCCAGCGUGUGCAACAGAUGACAUUGACUUUCAAGUUUUGAAACCUUCCACAUCCCCAAAGUAAACUGAGAGGCAGAGGCCGGAGGCACCAAAAG